rnacentral:rRNA from 1 species
UACGUAGGGUGCAAGCGUUGUCCGGAAUUAUUGGGCGUAAAGAGCUCGUAGGCGGUUUGUUGCGUCGGCUGUGAAAUCCCGAGGCUCAACCUCGGGUCUGCAGUCGAUACGAGCAAACUAGAGUGUUGCAGGGGAGACUGGAAUUCCUGGUGAUAGCGGUGAAAUGCGCAGAUAUCAGGAGGAACACCGGUGGGCGAAGGCGGUUCUCUGGGCCUGUACUGACGUGGAGGAGCGAAAGCGUGGGGAGCGAACAGG